rnacentral:rRNA from 1 species
AUAUUUGAGAGUUUGAUCCUGGCUCAGGAUGAACGCUGGCGGCGUGCCUAACACAUGCAAGUCGAGCGAUCUCUUCGGAGAGAGCGGCGGACGGGUGAGUAACGCGUGGGUAACCUGCCCUGUACACACGGAUAACAUACCGAAAGGUAUACUAAUACGGGAUAACAUACGAAAGUCGCAUGGCUUUUGUAUCAAAGCUCCGGCGGUACAGGAUGGACCCGCGUCUGAUUAGCUAGUUGGUAAGGUAAUGGCUUACCAAGGCAACGAUCAGUAGCCGACCUGAGAGGGUGAUCGGCCACACUGGAACUGAGACACGGUCCAGA